CCUACGGGAGGCAGCAGUAGGGAAUCUUUCACAAUGGGCGAAAGCCUGAUGGAGCAACGCCGCGUGCAGGAUGAAGGCCUUCGGGUUGUAAACUGCUUUUAUCAGCGAGAAAUAUGAUGGUAACUUAUGAAUAAGGAUCGGCUAACUACGUGCCAGCAGCCGCGGUCAUACGUAGGAUCCGAGCAUUAUCCGGAGUGACUGGGUGUAAAGAGUUGCGUAGGUGGCAUAAUAAGUAGCUAGUGAAAUCUGGUGGCUCAACCAUUCAGACUAUUAGCUAAACUGUUAAGCUCGAGAACGUUAGGGGUAACUGGAAUUUCUAGUGUAGGAGUGAAAUCCGUAGAUAUUAGAAGGAACACCAAUAGCGUAGGCAGGUUACUGGGACGGUUCUGACACUAAGGCACGAAAGCGUAGGGAGCAAACGGGAUUAGAUACCCGGGUAGUC
rnacentral:rRNA from 1 species